ACGCUUUGUGGUUCAACUGAUUUGAAGAGCUUGCUCAGAUAUGACGAUGGACAUUGCAAAGAGUGGCGAACGGGUGAGUAACACGUGGGAAACCUACCUCUUAGCAGGGGAUAACAUUUGGAAACAGAUGCUAAUACCGUAUAACAAUGACAACCGCAUGGUUGUUAUUUAAAAGAUGGUUCUGCUAUCACUAAGAGAUGGUCCCGCGGUGCAUUAGCUAGUUGGUAAGGUAAUGGCUUACCAAGGCGAUGAUGCAUAGCCGAGUUGAGAGACUGAUCGGCCACAAUGGGACUGAGACACGGCCCAUACUCCUACGGGAGGCAGCAGUAGGGAAUCUUCCACAAUGGGCGAAAGCCUGAUGGAGCAACGCCGCGUGUGUGAUGAAGGGUUUCGGCUCGUAAAACACUGUUGUAAGAGAAGAAUGACAUUGAGAGUAACUGUUCAAUGUGUGACGGUAUCUUACCAGAAAGGAACGGCUAAAUACGUGCCAGCAGCCGCGGUAAUACGUAUGUUCCAAGCGUUAUCCGGAUUUAUUGGGCGUAAAGCGAGCGCAGACGGUUAUUUAAGUCUGAAGUGAAAGCCCUCAGCUCAACUGAGGAAUUGCUUUGGAAACUGGAUGACUUGAGUGCAGUAGAGGAAAGUGGAACUCCAUGUGUAGCGGUGAAAUGCGUAGAUAUAUGGAAGAACACCAGUGGCGAAGGCGGCUUUCUGGACUGUAACUGACGUUGAGGCUCGAAAGUGUGGGUAGCAAACAGGAUUAGAUACCCUGGUAGUCCACACCGUAAACGAUGAGUGCUAGGUGUUUGAGGGUUUCCGCCCUUAAGUGCCGCAGCUAACGCAUUAAGCACUCCGCCUGGGGAGUACGACCGCAAGGUUGAAACUCAAAGGAAUUGACGGGGACCCGCACAAGCGGUGGAGCAUGUGGUUUAAUUCGAAGCAACGCGAAGAACCUUACCAGGUCUUGACAUCCCUUGACAACUCCAGAGAUGGAGCGUUCCCUUCGGGGACAAGGUGACAGGUGGUGCAUGGUUGUCGUCAGCUCGUGUCGUGAGAUGUUGGGUUAAGUCCCGCAACGAGCGCAACCCUUAUUACUAGUUGCCAGCAUUCAGUUGGGCACUCUAGUGAGACUGCCGGUGACAAACCGGAGGAAGGUGGGGAUGACGUCAAAUCAUCAUGCCCCUUAUGACCUGGGCUACACACGUGCUACAAUGGCGUAUACAACGAGUUGCCAACCCGCGAGGGUGAGCUAAUCUCUUAAAGUACGUCUCAGUUCGGAUUGUAGGCUGCAACUCGCCUACAUGAAGUCGGAAUCGCUAGUAAUCGCGGAUCAGCACGCCGCGGUGAAUACGUUCCCGGGUCUUGUACACACCGCCCGUCACACCAUGAGAGUUUGUAACACCCAAAGCCGGUGGGGUAACCUUCGGGAGCCAGCC
rnacentral:rRNA from 1 species